rnacentral:tRNA from 2 species
GGGGAGAUUCUAAUGUUGGUAAUUAGAGCUAAAUUGUAACUUUAGUGCUUAAAUAGCUGCGACUGUUCGAUUCAGUCUCUCCUCA